rnacentral:rRNA from 1 species
GAUGAACGCUGGCGGCGUGCCUAAUACAUGCAAGUCGAGCGAACGGACGAGAAGCUUGCUUCUCUUAUGUUAGCGGCGGACGGGUGAGUAACACGUGGAUAACCUAUCUAUAAGGCUGGGAUAACUUCGGGAAACCUGAGCUAAUAUCGGAUCAUAUUUUGAACCGCAUGGUUCUAAAGUGAAAGAGGGUCUUGCUGUCACUUAUAGAUGUAUCCGCGCUGCAUUAGCUAGUUGGUAAGGUAACGGCUUACCAAGGCAACGAUGCAUAGCCGACCUGAGAGGGUGAUCAGCCACACUGGAACUGAGACACGGUCCAGACUCCUACGGGAGGCAGCAGUAGGGAAUAUUCCACAAUGGGCGAAAGCCUGACGGAGCAACGCCGCGUGAGUGAUGAAGGUCUUCGGAUCGUAAAACUCUGUUAGUAGGGAGGAACAGAUGUGUAAGUAACUGUGCACAUCUUGACGGUACCUACUCAGAAAGCCACGGCUAACUACGUG